UCAUCUAACAAAACGAGCAGUGAAAAUAUGGUUCAUUUACGACUUGGGUUACUGGAGGAAGUCUCAAAAGAAAAAUGCAGAUCCUCUACAGAUUAUUUAUAGCUUGCCUCGUGUUCCUCACGGAAGGAGUGCUAUGUUGCUGUUCUCGAGAGGGAAACCUAACAAACUAUCUUCUGAAUACUACUCGUUACAGCAUGAGGUUCCGACCAGUUCUCCAUGACAACCACACCCUAAAAAUUCGACACAGUUUGAUUCUUUACCGGAUUGUUAAAGUUGAUGAAAAACAUCAUAAAAUUGACUUAGAUGUACGGAUAAAAAUGCAAUGGAAAGAUCAGAACUUAAAAUGGAAUACUUCAGAUUAUGGCGACAUAAAGCAAGUGAACUUAGAUGGAAAUGAAAUAUGGACACCCCAUAUAAUAUUGUACAACAAUGCGGACUUUAACGACUCGGAGACAAGUUCCUUCAAAGCUACGGUGACGUAUGAUGGUAAUGUCACGUGGGUCGUUCCCAUUUUAACAAUGAGCUCUUGCAAAAUAAACGUGCUAAAUUUUCCGUUGGACGAACAGUUGUGUAAAUUGACAUUCGGAUCUUGGAACUAUGACAUCACUAAGCUCAACAUUCACCCGGGUAGUGACAUCAUAUUCACACAGCAUUACCUUCCCAAUGGAGAAUGGCAACUGAUCAGCACUCGCUCAGAACGAAGCCUUAUGUCACACUUAUGCUGCAAGACUAUGGUGUCAGGAGUUUCGUAUGUUUUACACAUCAGACGGCUAUCUCCGUUUUAUGUCAUAAAUUUCAUCGUGCCUUGCGCGCUUAUUUCAGUGUUGACACUCCUCGUGUUUCUAAUGCCUGAAGACACCGGCGAGCGGAUGGCAGUAGGAGUUACAAUACUUCUCUCGCUGGCAGUAUUUUUCUUAAUGGUGGAGGAGAAGUUGCCAGUUUCGGAGAACCUUCCAUUGAUUGGUAAAUACUACUGCGGUACAAUUAUCGAAGUUGCGCUGGCCCUUGUUGCCAUGUGUUAUGUGUUGCGGUUUGUUCAUCACCAGGCCCACGCAUUGCCAAGCUGGAUAAAGAAAUAUAUUUUAGGAUAUCUGGCGCGAAUCGUAUUCUACAAAACCGAACAAGUAAAAGCUGAGCAAGAGCAGACACCACACAUUAAACCACAAAAAGACCAGAAGGAUUCGCGAGCACCCCGCGGGAGUGAAGAAAGCGAGAAGGCAGUGCGAACAACAGUAAAUAAAUGGAGAAAACCCUUACAUGAAAAGAAGCCUGAGCUCCCUGCUGCCGAGUCCCGCGCGGUCAAAAUCCUGGCUGACAGUGUGAAAGAGCAAGACAAGAAAGAUGAACUACAAGAUCAGUGGGUCCUGGCGGCCAAUGUGCUCAACAGAUUCUUUAUCUGCUUGUUUCUUGCCUCUGUUGUCAUAACUCUUAUUGCUGUAUUUGCAGUGGAUACACGAUUUGAAAACUAAGCCAUAAGUAUUCGCUAGAUGUGUUUGAAGCAGCAGUGUCUUAAGUAACCAAAAAAAAAAACACCUUUUUCAGCGCAAUUUUUCACUUCCCUUUGAAUAAAUUUACGAUAAAGCCAUGACUCAAAAAUUGAAUUUUUGAACUGAUUCAGAAAAGAAUUCAGAGAUGAGUAAGUAACAAAACAAAAACAAAAACAAAAAAACAAAUGCACUUGAAAAGAAUAAGAAAUCAUUGACAAGGAAGAGCAAAAUUAUUUUUCUAUGACAACAAAAAAUGUUCACAUGGUUCUACGAAAUUUGUUUACUUGGAGACGUCAUAUGUUUACGACUAAUCUAGAAAUAACAUUCACACCUCUUCCCUAUCCACCCCCUUCUCAUCCCUUCACAACAGAUAAUGCUA
rnacentral:misc_RNA from 1 species